UACGGAGGGUGCGAGCGUUAAUCGGAAUUACUGGGCGUAAAGCGCGCGUAGGCGGUUUGUUAAGUCGGAUGUGAAAGCCCCGGGCUCAACCUGGGAAUUGCAUUCGAUACUGGCCGACUAGAGUACGAGAGAGGGAGGUAGAAUUCCACGUGUAGCGGUGAAAUGCGUAGAUAUGUGGAGGAAUACCGGUGGCGAAGGCGGCCUCCUGGCUCGAUACUGACGCUGAGGUGCGAAAGCGUGGGUAGCAAACAGGAUUAGAUACCCUGGUAGUCCACGCCGUAAACGAUGUCUACUAGCCGUUGGGAGACUUGAUUUCUUAGUGGCGCAGCUAACGCACUAAGUAGACCGCCUGGGGAGUACGGCCGCAAGGUUAAAACUCAAAUGAAUUGACGGGGGCCCGCACAAGCGGUGGAGCAUGUGGUUUAAUUCGAUGCAACGCGAAGAACCUUACCAGGUCUUGACAUCCUCGGAACUUUCCAGAGAUGGAUUGGUGCCUUCGGGAACCGAGAGACAGGUGCUGCAUGGCUGUCGUCAGCUCGUGUCGUGAGAUGUUGGGUUAAGUCCCGUAACGAGCGCAACCCUUGUCCUUAGUUGCCAGCGCGUAAUGGCGGGAACUCUAAGGAGACUGCCGGUGACAAACCGGAGGAAGGUGGGGACGACGUCAAGUCAUCAUGGCCCUUACGACCUGGGCUACACACGUGCUACAAUGGAACGCACAGAGGGUUGCAACCUCGCGAGAGUGAGCCAAUCCCACAAAACGUUUCGUAGUCCGGAUCGGAGUCUGCAACUCGACUCCGUGAAGUCGGAAUCGCUAGUAAUCGCGGAUCAGAAUGCCGCGGUGAAUACGUUCCCGGGCCU
rnacentral:rRNA from 1 species